GAACGCCGGUAGCGAUACCGGAGUGGCGCACGGGUGAGUAACGCGUGGGAACCUGCCCCUGAGUUUGGGAUAACCCGGCGAAAGCCGGGCUAAUACCGGAUACGCCCUUGGAGUGAUCCAAGGGGAAAGAUUUAUCGCUCUGGGAGGGGCCCGCGUGGGAUUAGCUAGUUGGUGGGGUAACGGCCCACCAAGGCGACGAUCGGUAGCUGGUCUGAGAGGAUGGCCAGCCACACUGGGACUGAGACACGGCCCAGACUCCUACGGGAGGCAGCAGUGGGGAAUAUUGCGCAAUGGGCGAAAGCCUGACGCAGCGACGCCGCGUGGGUGAUGAAGGCCUUCGGGUCGUAAAGCCCUGUCGGGAGGGACGAAACCUCGGCAACCUAACACGUUGCCGACCUGACGGUACCUCCUAAGGAAGCACCGGCUAACUCCGUG
rnacentral:rRNA from 1 species